rnacentral:rRNA from 1 species
ACACGACUACAUUAGAUACCCCUGUAGUCCCAGCCCUAAACGAUGCGCGUUAGGUGUAUCGGUGACCACGAGUCACCGAGGUGCCGAAGGGAAACCGUGAAACGUGCCGCCUGGGAAGUACGGUCGCAAGGCUGAAACUUAAAGGAAUUGGCGGGAGAGCACCACAACGGGUGGAGCCUGCGGUUUAAUUGGACUCAACGCCGGGAAGCUCACCGGAUAAGACAGCGGAAUGAUUGCCGGGCUGAAGACCCUGCAUGACCAGCUG